rnacentral:rRNA from 1 species
GACGAACGCUGGCGGCGUGCCUAAUACAUGCAAGUCGACCUUAGUGGCGCACGGGUGAGUAACACGUGGGUAACCUGCCCAUCAGAAGGGGAGAACACUUGGAAACAGGUGCUAAUACCGGAUACUUAUGGAUUGACACGCGUUGCAUUAGCUAGUUGGGGUGGUAACGGCUAACCAAUGCCACGCUGCAUCGCCGUCCUCGGAUGGUGAUCGGCCACCUUGGGACUGAGCCACGGCCCAACCUCCUACGGGAGGCAGCAGUAGGGCUUCUUCGGCAAUGGACGCAAGUCUGACCGAGCAACGCCGCGUGAGUGAAGAAGGUUUUCGGAUCGUAACACUCUGUUGUUAGAGAAGCGGUAUCUAACGAGAAAGCCACGGCUAACUACGUGCCAGCAGCCGCGGUAAUUC